GACGAACGCUGGCGGCGUGCUUAACACAUGCAAGUCGAGCGAUCUUCUUCGGAAGAGAGCGGCGGACGGGUGAGUAACGCGUGGGUAACCUGCCUCAUACACAUGGAUAACAUACCGAAAGGUAUGCUAAUACAAGAUGAUAUAAGAGAUUCGCAUGGAUUUCUUAUCAAAGCUCCGGCGGUAUGAGAUGGACCCGCGUCUGAUUAGCUAGUUGGUAAGGUAACGGCUUACCAAGGCAACGAUCAGUAGCCGACCUGAGAGGGUGAUCGGCCACAUAGGAACUGAGACACGGUCCAAACUCCUACGGGAGGCAGCAGUGGGGAAUAUUGCACAAUGGGCGAAAGCCUGAUGCAGCAACGCCGCGUGAGCGAUGAAGGCCUUCGGGUCGUAAAGCUCUGUCCUCAAGGAAGAUAAUGACGGUACUUGAGGAGGAAGCCCCGGCUAACUACGUGCCAGCCGCCGCAGUAA
rnacentral:rRNA from 1 species